CUGAAUUGAUGCACCAAAUGAAAAAUCAUGACUAGAGGGUAUGAUUUAAAUGGAUUUGGCCAGGAGCAUUAAAAUAUAAUAAUCAGAGAUUGAUCUCAAAACAGUCCAAUACAAGCCAAAUAAAAGUAAAUAAAAAGCAUUCUGUUUCUGACUUUAUCACGAAAAAGCUAUUUCUUGGUUCCUUCUUGGAGUUUUAUAAAAAGCCCCAUAUUCAUACUCCAAUUUCUUAAUUCCUUCUUGAAGUUUUACAAAAG
rnacentral:misc_RNA from 1 species